UCUGCCAGCUCGCCUCUUGCCUUCGGCCACCUGGGGCUGCAGCAGCCUUUUCACUUCUCGCCACCGUAGGGCUGUCACCUGUCCAGGUUUGCCCAGGACCGGCCCUUCUUUGCAGUUAGCAGGAGCUGUCCGGGGAUGUCUGCCAGGGUGCUCCGUAUACACUGCCAGCUGCCCAGUUCUGUGGGCUCAGGACCAUCCUGCGUGCUCCGUUUAUUAGGGGCAGCCAAAUACAGCAAAAAUUUCCCCUGCACUGUCUGUUAUAGUAUCUCUGGCCCUGACCUGAAGGCACCACCAUCUAGUGGGAUGAGAAGGUUUACAGGAAGAUACCUAUUUGCACUUCAGAAGGGCCCAUAUGUUUUGCCUCUUAUUCACUGAGAAGAACAGAGAACUUCAAAGACUGCCAUGGAGGACUAGCCAGGAAGUGAAUACCAGUGAUCUGCAGGACUUUGAGCUCUCAGACUUGUAUUCAACUAUGCAAAGGGCUUCUUCCUCAGUGCUUCCACCUAUCCCUUCAACAACCCAAGAUGCAUGGGUAGUUUGAAAGCUGUAUUCCAUUGUCUGCUGGCUCCUGGUUGUGCACUACAACAUCUCUGAACAUUAAUGAUAGAAAAUGCGGUUGAACUUAAUUCUGUGUUAAGCAACAUUAACUAGAUGUUUAUGUGCACCAGUUCUUGACAGGGAGUGGAGAGAAAAGCAUGCCACUUAAGGGUUCAUUCUCACUCACACCACUUUUACACAGGUGUAACUCCACUGGGCCUGAUGCCAGUGUAAAUCAGGACUAAGUCAACUGAAGCCAAUCGAGUUACACAAGUAUAAAGUGAGAUCAGAUCAAACCCUUACUGUAACUUCUUUUGCUGAUCGCACCCACGAUUUUGGUCUGGACAGUUAAUCUCAAUGACUUUUUAAAAACAGAGUCAAGAACAGUUCCAUUGAAAAGGAACAGCAUUAUGCAUUCCUUCUCCUCUAUUUCAUACCAAGAUUAAUGUGAAGAACACACUACACACAGGUCAUUUUUCUAUAUCCUGUAAAGACAUGCAAUGCCUGAUUCUGAUCUUAUAGUGGAUUUACAUUAAUGUAACUGCACUGACUUCUGUGAAAUUACUCUUGAUUUACACUCAUGUAAGUGAGAU